rnacentral:rRNA from 1 species
UACGAAGGGGGCUAGCGUUGUUCGGAAUUACUGGGCGUAAAGGGCGCGUAGGCGGACGCGCAAGUCAGGGGUGAAAUCCCGGGGCUCAACCUCGGAAUUGCCUUUGAGACUGCGUAUCUUGAGGACGGGAGAGGGUCGUGGAAUUCCCAGUGUAGAGGUGAAAUUCGUAGAUAUUGGGAAGAACACCGGUGGCGAAGGCGGCGACCUGGACCGUAUCUGACGCUGAGGCGCGAAAGCGUGGGGAGCAAACAGG